rnacentral:rRNA from 1 species
UGCAAGUCGAGCGGACAGAAGGGAGCUUGCUCCCGGAUGUUAGCGGCGGACGGGUGAGUAACACGUGGGUAACCUGCCUGUAAGACUGGGAUAACUCCGGGAAACCGGAGCUAAUACCGGAUAGUUCCUUGAACCGCAUGGUUCAAGGAUGAAAGACGGUUUCGGCUGUCACUUACAGAUGGACCCGCGGCGCAUUAGCUAGUUGGUGGGGUAAUGGCUCACCAAGGCGACGAUGCGUAGCCGACCUGAGAGGGUGAUCGGCCACACUGGGACUGAGACACGGCCCAGACUCCUACGGGAGGCAGCAGUAGGGAAUCUUCCGCAAUGGACGAAAGUCUGACGGAGCAACGCCGCGUGAGUGAUGAAGGUUUUCGGAUCGUAAAGCUCUGUUGUUAGGGAAGAACAAGUGCGAGAGUAACUGCUCGCACCUUGACGGUACCUAACCAGAAAGCCACGGCUAACUACGUGCCAGCAGCCGCGGUAAUACGUAGGUGGCAAGCGUUGUCCGGAAUUAUUGGGCGUAAAGGGCUCGCAGGCGGUUUCUUAAGUCUGAUGUGAAAGCCCCCGGCUCAACCGGGGAGGGUCAUUGGAAACUGGGAAACUUGAGUGCAGAAGAGGAGAGUGGAAUUCCACGUGUAGCGGUGAAAUGCGUAGAGAUGUGGAGGAACACCAGUGGCGAAGGCGACUCUCUGGUCUGUAACUGACGCUGAGGAGCGAAAGCGUGGGGAGCGAACAGGAUUAGAUACCCUGGUAGUCCACGCCGUAAACGAUGAGUGCUAAGUGUUAGGGGGUUUCCGCCCCUUAGUGCUGCAGCUAACGCAUUAAGCACUCCGCCUGGGGGAGUACGGUCGCAAGACUGAAACUCAAAGGAAUUGACGGG